AAAACUGAUGAAUGCACUAAAAACACUACCUGCGUCAACAUUCCUGGGGGUUAUUUUUGCAACUGCAAGCAAGGUUACAAGAAAUUAUCCGACACCUUACCUUAUAAGAACACUCCCGAUAAAGAAGGUUGUGUUGAUUUUUGUUACCCAAGCCCGUGCAAGAAAGGAGCCUGCCACUUGAAAGAGAAGGGAUUCGAUUGUAGCUGUGAUGUAGGAUACAGUGGAUCUUUAUGUGACGCAACUGACGAAAACCUCCAUAAGGCCAACACUAACUCAAAAGUCAUUGGAGGAGUUUUAGGAACUCUUCUUGCAGUUAUAGUUAUUGCCUGCCUCGUCUUUUAUUACCUCCAAUUUUACAGAAAGCGUAACAGGAAUGACUCAGACAGAAGUUUAAUUCCUACUCGUAUGCAAGCUGAUGACACAGAAUUGG